AGAAAAGCAGGGGUAUGUUUUUUACCAUAAACAAGCCUCUCGUAGACUUUAGGGAAAUUAUAUUCAUUGUUAUUGGGUGAACCUUUGUACAUUGUUAAUGGCAGAUGGUUCAGUAAACAAUGAAACAUUG
rfam:Musa acuminata subsp. malaccensis Doubled-haploid Pahang (DH-Pahang) genomic chromosome, chr4